rnacentral:misc_RNA from 1 species
UAGCCCGUGACGAACUGCCGGCUUGGACACCUUCCUUUCAAAGAAAUGGGUCCUAAGACCCCACACACGCCACUCGGUAAAGAAUCGGGCCUAUAGCUCAGCUUGGCUAGAGCACACGACUGAUAAUCGUGAGGUCAGUGGUUCGAGUCCACUUGGGCCCACCAAAUGGGGCUGUAGCUCAGCUGGGAGAGCACCUGCUUUGCAAGCAGGGGGUCACCGGUUCGAUCCCGGUCAGCUCCACCAAAGGGAAGAGGCCCGCGCGCAGCGGGUCGGACGCUGGGGUGGAGAAGUAGGCGGCAGGAAGCGGGUAACAGGAAGUAGAGAGUAGGAAAGUAAUUAAAGAGUCCGUAGUAGUGAGUUUCUGAAUAAAGAAGCUGUAGUACUACCGAUUCGCAGUAUGGAAGCGGUAUUGUUCUUUGACAGUUGAGGAAGGGAAGGCCAUGUUUGUCAUCUUGCCGAUGGCAGACCUCCAGGUGGAUGCUUGGGGAUAUAUGGUCAAGUGAAUAAGGGGCAUACGGUGGGAUGCCUUGGCAGAGACAGGCGAUGAAGGACGUGGAUACCUGCGAAAAGCCUCGGGGAGCUGGGUAAACAAGCUUUGAUCCGGGGAUAUCCGAUGCCCCACCCCCCCCCACCAA